AUAGGCGGCAAAAGCUUUUUUCACUGGCAACUGUCACCGUCCUCAGCCUAACGUUACGUUAGCUACGUCUAUUAGACGAACGCCGCCAUCUUGCUUGCUGAAAGUGAACAUGCA